rnacentral:lncRNA from 1 species
AAUGAACUGUUGAUGGAGUUAUAAAUUGGUAAUACCCAUACUAGUUCUGUAUCCAAAAGAGGUCAAAGAAAAAGGAAAAGUAUUCAUAUAUACAAACAUUGCAGCUCUUUUUGUUGUGGCAAAGAAUUGCAAAUCAAAGGCAUGUUCAUUAGUUGGAGAAUAGCUGUACAAGUUGUGCAUAUGAUUGUGAUGUAGUACUAUUAUGUAAUAAUAAAUGUUGAUGGGAGCUGUUCAGAAAAAAAAAAUAUGGCAAGGCUUACAUGAACUGAGGCAUAGUGAAGUGAAAAGAAUUGGGAGAUCAUUGUACACAGUAACAGCAAUGUUGUAAUGAUGAUCAACGAUGAAAGAUUUGGAUCCAAGACAAUUCCAUAGGACUAAUGUUGAAAAAAUGUUCUCUACAUCCAGAGAAAUAACUGAAGAACACUGAAUGGAAAAUGAAGUUCUCCCUGAUUCAAAACCCCAUCUUUUUAAUACUUGUGUUCCUUGGGUGAUGUAAAAUGGCAGCAAAUCAUAGAGUUCUACAAUCUCUCUGAAUAGACAUCUGAAGAGAUGCAGGUCAUCCAAAGGGCAAAGGAGAAAAAUAUGGUGGAGAUCAAAGGCAAAGUGGUGAUGCAAUCAGCUGUUUGUGUUCUGAAGUCAACAUGUCUCCGAGGAGGCCUUGGAAGGUCCACACAUGGGAACAUCUGUUGGUGAAAGCCACUUGAAAAAUAAGCAGGCAAUUAAGUAGCAGGCAUGUCUGUGCCAAGUGCACAGGACCACCAGGAGAGCAAGCAAGGCAGGAGACAACACGAGGAGGAGAAGAGAGAAAACUGAAAGAAGAUGCUUGAGUGUGCAUGC